rnacentral:tRNA from 1 species
UCCCUGGUGGUCCAGUGGUUAGGACUCUGCGCUUUUAAGGCUGAGGGUGUGGGUUCAAUCCCUGGUUGGGGAA